ACAUGUCUUUUUGGUUAUUUAAUAUAAAGUCUGACCUGCCCACUGAAUAUAAUUUUAAAGGGCCGCAGUAUUUUGACUGUGCAAAGGUAGCAUAAUCAUUAGUCUUUUAAUUGAAGGCUGGUAUGAAUGGUUGGAUGAGGUACAAGCUGUGUCAUAAAAAUUAGUAUUUGAAUUUACCUUUUUAGUCAAAAGGCUAAAAUUUUAUUAAAAGACGAGAAGACCCUAUAGAGCUUUAUAUAGUUAAUAUUUAGAUUAUUAAUAUUUUUUAAAUUUAAUUAUUUUAUUAUAUUUUGUUGGGGUGACAAUAAAAUUUAUAAAACUUUUAUUAUUAUUAUUCAUUAAUUUAUGUUUAAAUGAUCCAAUUUUAUUGAUUAUAAAUUUAAGUUACCUUAGGGAUAACAGCGUAAUUUUUUUUGAGAGUUCUUAUCAACAAAAAAGUUUGCGACCUCGAUGUUGGAUUAAGAUUAAUUUUGGGUGUAGAAGUUCAAAGUUUAAGUCUGUUCGACUUUUAAAUU
rnacentral:rRNA from 1 species